rnacentral:rRNA from 1 species
UACCGAGGGGGCAAGCGUUGUUCGGAAUUACUGGGCGUAAAGGGCGCGUAGGCGGCCCGCUAAGUCGAACGUGAAAUCCCCAGGCUCAACCUGGGAACUGCGUCCGAUACUGGCAGGCUUGAAUCCGGGAGAGGGAUGUGGAAUUCCAGGUGUAGCGGUGAAAUGCGUAGAUAUCUGGAGGAACACCGGUGGCGAAGGCGGCAUCCUGGACCGGUAUUGACGCUGAGGCGCGAAAGCUAGGGGAGCAAACGGG